UCUGAGCCUCAGGGUUCACCUGGGUCACCCACAAGAUUUAUGAGGCCCAGCAGUUGCAUCUGAUUGGGACUGUUAGUCCUGGAGAAAACUGACACUCCCUCCUUCUCCCUCCUCCCCCAGCCCAGCACACAAAGUCCAGUAACUUUCCUGGUCCGUUCCCAGUGGCUGCCAAAGAGGCAGCAAAAUGGAUGACCUGUGCAGAUACCAAAGUGGACAUCAAUAAAAAGAGAUGGAUGUGGACUGGUGUGGAGUGACGUGUCUCACUGCUGGGGUGACUGGGGAAGGGGGAACAGGUUAAAAAAACACAGGAAAGUUAUUUAUAUAAGCUUCAAGGACAAGGAGUUUGUCACUACUUGCUGGAGGAUUUAAUCUUAAAGAAUGACUCUUUCUCCUGGCUUCCAUCAUGCUCUAGUUGACAAAAAAGCCUGCAAAGUUAUUGUAAUCAUUAGAUACCUUUGUUUGUUGGCUUAAGUGCAGGAAAUUGUAUUAAUGUUUUUGUCACCACAAGAGUGAUUCCACGGAGGGCUCUGAGAAACGUCAGAGCUUAGGCAGGAAGAAUGGAAGGUGACACACAAAAACAGAGCACCCAUUUCUAGAUUGAUUCAACAGGACUGGAACUCUUCGUGAUUCAUAAGAGCGUUUGAUGUUCUAAACAAUUAACUUUUUUUUCCCCUUAUGGAAACGGACAUAAGCUUUAAAAAGGACAGACUCACUUCUACACAGUCUCCAAAGGAAUGCUCUGGUCAUCAGGGAUUGGCAUUCCAGAAGUUCUGUCCUGGAUGUUGUGUUGCAAAGGCAAAGGGAUUACUGGAAACUGGUUUUGCUGCCAACAUCAGUAUCCUUUGGCAGGUUGGAGCGUGUGGAGUGAAUUUGGGGGAGAUGUUUGUAAGAGAGGAAAUUUAGACUCAUUCUGCCAGAGGAACAAGACAAGCGGGGUAAGGGCAAAUGGAACAGAGAAUUCCAGAGAAAGAACAGAGAAGAGCUGAGAAGAUUCAAGCAGUUAACUUCACUUCCCUUUGGGAAGCCUUUCAGAAAGGUUGCUCUGAAAGCACCUCUGAGCCCUGGUCAUCCUUCUGUGAAUCCAGACCCCCUGAAUCCAGCAGAAGACAACAGGAAUGGAUAGGACUUUUGAUAUAAAGCUAUCCAUCUCAAGAAGAUUUUCUCUACAUCCCUCCAAAUUCAGUUCCUGAAAUUCAAAUCAUAAGUAGGACAGUUAGAAGUCAGGGCAGCUCUCACAAAUGACCCCAGUGGGUCAGGCAGGCAAAGCCUGACUCUGUAGGAUUUGGGGAGAAGGGGUUCAAUUGUUAGUUUUUAGGAACUUCCUAUUUUCCAACUUUCCGGAUACCUUAUCCCUCAAUCUCAA